GAUGAACGCUAGCGGCAGGCCUAAUACAUGCAAGUCGAGGGAGAAUGUUGGAUUCGUCUGACAUGAAACCGGCGCACGGGUGCGUAACACGUAUGCAACCUACCUUUAACUGGGGUAUAGCUCAGAGAAAUCUGAAUUAAUCCCCCAUAAGACUACGACAUGGCAUCAUGAUGUAGUUAAAGCUCCGGCGGUUAAGGAUGGGCAUGCGGUACAUUAGCUAGUUGGUGAGGUAAUGGCUCACCAAGGCUACGAUGUAUAGGGGGUCUGAGAGGACGAUCCCCCACACUGGUACUGAGACACGGACCAGACUCCUACGGGAGGCAGCAGUAGGGAAUAUUGGUCAAUGGACGCAAGUCUGAACCAGCCAUGCCGCGUGUAGGAUGAAGGCCCUAUGGGUCGUAAACUUCUUUUAUUAGGGAAGAAAAAACGGGAUGCGUCCUGUACUGACGGUACUUAAUGAAUAAGGAUCGGCUAACUUCGUGCCAGCCGCCGCGGUAA
rnacentral:rRNA from 1 species